CUUUAGCCCCGAUUGAAAUGGAAAUCCUUUUAAUUUUUUCUUUAAAAAUUAAAAGAUUGUAAUAGAAAGCGGGAAAAAGC
rnacentral:sRNA from 1 species